GAUGAACGCUGGCGGCGUGCCUAAUACAUGCAAGUCGAGCGAACGGACGAGAAGCUUGCUUCUCUGAUGUUAGCGGCGGACGGGUGAGUAACACGUGGAUAACCUACCUAUAAGACUGGGAUAACUUCGGGAAACCGGAGCUAAUACCGGAUAAUAUUUUGAACCGCAUGGUUCAAAAGUGAAAGACGGUCUUGCUGUCACUUAUAGAUGGAUCCGCGCUGCAUUAGCUAGUUGGUAAGGUAACGGCUUACCAAGGCAACGAUGCAUAGCCGACCUGAGAGGGUGGUCGGCCACACUGGAACUGAGGCACGGUCCAGGCUCCUACGGGAGGCAGCAGUAGGGAAUCUUCCGCAAUGGGCGGAAGCCUGACGGAGCAACGCCGCGUGAGUGAUGAAGGUCUUCGGAUCGUAAAGCUCUGUUAUUAGGGAAGAACAUAUGUGUAAGUAACUGUGCACAUCUUGACGGUACCUAAUCAGAAAGCCACGGCUAACUACGUG
rnacentral:rRNA from 1 species